GCGGAAUGCUUUACACAUGCAAGUCGAACGGCAGCACGGACUUCGGUCUGGUGGCGAGUGGCGAACGGGUGAGUAAUGUAUCGGAACGUAUCCAGUAAUGGGGGAUAACUAAUCGAAAGGUUGGCUAAUACCGCAUACGCCCUACGGGGGAAAGCAGGGGAUCUUCGGACCUUGCGUUAAUGGAGCGGCCGAUAUCUGAUUAGCUAGUUGGUGAGGUAAGAGCUCACCAAGGCGACGAUCAGUAGCUGGUCUGAGAGGACGACCAGCCACACUGGAACUGAGACACGGUCCAGACUCCUACGGGAGGCAGCAGUGGGGAAUUUUGGACAAUGGGCGCAAGCCUGAUCCAGCCAUUCCGCGUGAGUGAAGAAGGCCUUCGGGUUGUAAAGCUCUUUCGCAGGGGAAGAAACGAUGCAGACGAAUAAUCUGUGUUAAUGACGGCACCUUGAUAAGAAGCACCGGCUAACUACGUGCCAGCAGCCGCGGUAAUACGUAGGGUGCAGGCGUUAAUCGGAAUUACUGGGCGUAAAGCGUGCGCAGGCGGUUUUGUAAGUCAGAUGUGAAAUCCCCGAGCUCAACUUGGGAACUGCGUUUGAAACUAC
rnacentral:rRNA from 1 species